UACGUAGGGGGCGAGCGUUGUCCGGAUUCAUUGGGCGUAAAGAGCUCGUAGGCGGUUUGGUAAGUCGGGUGUGAAAACCCCAGGCUCAACCUGGGGACGCCACCUGAUACUGCUAUGACUUGAGUCUGGUAGGGGACCACGGAAUUCCUGGUGUAGCGGUGAAAUGCGCAGAUAUCAGGAGGAACACCGGUGGCGAAGGCGGUGGUCUGGGCCAGUACUGACGCUGAGGAGCGAAAGCGUGGGGAGCGAACAGG
rnacentral:rRNA from 1 species